AGACUUUUUUAUUUAAAAAAAGCUACUUAAGUUAAUUCACCAACAGAUCUGAUUUCACAAACAAUUCAACGAAUUCGUCGCUUUAAAUGUCGCAUCGAAUAAUGGUACGAAACAGAAAUUACGUUUCGCUGCGAUCUUCCCUGAAUUAUGGAUUGAGCAACGUAAAUGACAGGACAAAAUGGCUCAUUUAAUAACAAAGCUUUAAAACCUCAACAGCCUUGAAGGACCGUUAUUACUAGGGCCUUGUAAAGUUGCAAGGUCCCUCGGAAAUUAAACGGCCGUCAUUCAGUUCUAUUGCGUCUGUAAAUUGUAAUGAUAACAAGGAAGGAAUGGAGGUGGGAAGAAGAUUGUUAGGGGAAGUGAUGAGUAAUGAAAGCUUUGUCACAAUGUCAGUGCACCUGUGCAUAAAAUCAAUAUUUAUUGUCAGAUUAUUCAUACAAACCAAUGAUCUGGAUGAAUGGUUCAGAAACAUCGUACAUGACAUCAGGGGGAAACGUGACGUCAUACGGAUAGUACACGAUCACUAAGUAAGAUUAAAAAAUAGCAGCAACAUUGACGCUCAGACGAUGGAACGUAUUAUAAGAAUUUUCCAAUAUAAGUUGACUUUACAUUUUGAAGACUUUCGUCACAACGAGAGGUCAGGUGUUCUGGUUUAUAGUGUGAUGGUUCCGUCACCAUAUAAGAGGUGGCGUUUCCUUCAUGCUCAACGCGUUGAAUGUGUUUCGUUACCUUAAACAAAAUACGUAAAAAAAUAUUGCA